rnacentral:rRNA from 1 species
AUUGAACGCUGGCGGCAGGCCUAACACAUGCAAGUAGAGCGGAGCGGCGGAAGGGUGAGUAAUGCCUAGGAAUCUGCCUGGUAGAGGGGGAUAACGUCCGGAAACGGGCGCUAAUACCGCAUACAAUCAGAUGAGCCUAGGUCGGAUUAGCUAGUCGGUGGGGUAAAGGCCUACCAAGGCGACGAACCGUAACUGGUCUGAGAGGAUGAUCAGUCACACUGGAGCUGAGACACGGUCCAGACUACCACGGGAGGCAGCAGUGGGGAAUAUUGGACAAUGGGCGAAAGCCUGAUCCAGCCAUGCCGCGUGUGUGAAGAAGGUCGUCGGAUUGUAAAGCACUUUAAGUUGAGCAGCGUUACCAAGAGAAUGAGCACCUGCUAACUUCGUGCCAGCAGCCGCAGUAAUAC